AGAGCAUAGCCACUGACCUUCGGGACUGUUUGCCUAUAGAAGCCAUGCUUUGCUCAGAACAUCUAGCCCUUCAGAAAAUACGACAACAGCCAGAACCCACAGUUCACAUUGAUGCAUUCCUCUAUGAUGAAGACUUUAUUGAUACAUUAUGUGAGGAAGGAAAAAUGAGCAGAAACUACUGUACAGUGUGUGGCUCACACCAAACAGCGCCUUUGGAUUAACAUACAGCUGUCCUCCUGGGUGGAAGAGAUACCUCUGAACUUCGAUGUGUAUGCACAAAGGGACAUUGACCAAGAAGCUCUUCAACAAAUUCAUUUAUAUAAGGUUCUCUAGCACCAAAGCAACGUAGGGUGCUACCUUAACCACAAGUUCUGUGUAUUCCCUUUCACCCUUUGUGUGCCUGACUAUGUGCCAGUAGAUCGCUCUGUGUGACUGCACAUACGGUAGUUGUAUGUGGACAUAAAUAAACUGUAUAAUAAGGAAAUUAAAAUAGUAAGCUGAAAUAUGCCCUUUUAUUUUGUUAGAAACAUAAGCUUACCUGUGUUUAAUUUACAUGUCACAUCCAAAUAAGACUUCUAGGGAGCUGACAGCAACUUCUUUGAUGCAAGGAAGGAGGAAAGGGCAGGCCUCACUGUCUCUGACUUGUUAGGUCUCUGACGACGAGCCUAGCUAGGAUAGAACUAAUCUUUUUAUGUUUUAUUUUUAAAGGUUUCUGGAAAAAAGUGGAACUAGACAGAGCCCCCAAAUAAUAUGUAGACACUUUGGGUAAAGCAGCUUUAAGUCAACCCCAAGGUUCUUUUUCCUUCCUGUAUUUCCCCUUAAUUCCCCAUAGUCGCUUUUUUCCAAGACGGGGUUUCUCUGUAGGUCUGGAAGUUGCUUUAUAGACCAGGCUGGCUCAAAACUCUUCUACCUCUAACUAAAGUCAUGCACCACC
rnacentral:lncRNA from 1 species